ACACAUUUCUACAGGUGGGUGGACGAGAAAGUGGGAAGGAUAGAGCAGACAGGAUUUGUGUUGGUCCUCACUGGUGAUUCAAAUGCUCUACAGUGCUCCUCAGAAAGUUCACAACUCUGCCCUACAGGACUUUUUUAAAUCUUCACUUUCACACAUACCUGCAAGAUCUAAAUCAGAAUCAGAAUUGCCUGUAUUUUUGUCCACAUUACGCAAUGCUGAGAUCCUACACCUGUUGCUGGAAGAGCGCAAGACCUAAUCAUGUGACACGGCUUCUGAGACAUCACAGCUUCUCAUCGGUCCACAAGUGCUUCCUUCAAAAUAAACCCAUCAGCAGCAGCACCUGGCGACACAGAAGAUAAGAUGUUUGGUAUCGUUUGUGUCAGCGAUCUUGUCACAAGAAAUGGAAUAAAAAUCAAAAGGCAAUAUGGUUGGUACGACCUGCCACUUCAAGUUCUUCGGAAAUACAGUUCUUCGGAAUACUGUAUUUUGAAUAAGACACACAUGCUCCUCAACAACAUUAGCCUCCCCAAAUGGUUUUCCAUAAUGUGCUAUUGUAUAAGCUGACACCCUCAUGACUUGCCCUGGUAGCUCUCUCCCUGUGUUUUGCUUGCCUGAAAAAAUAAGCCUUGCAGUAGAGAUAAACUUGCCUUGAUCUGCUUUGCUUUUUGUGAUCUUUCUGU